CUCCAGCUGACCAGUCCCAAAUAGGACGAGACGCGAGUUCUGGAU
rfam:Schistosoma mansoni strain Puerto Rico chromosome 5, complete genome